CACUAAGAAGCUAUAGGUAGCAAUAGCCUUUUAAGCUAUGAUUAGGUGACCUCCAACCACCCUUAGUGA
rnacentral:tRNA from 1 species